UAAUCUUUAAAUUAUAGGGAAACGCUAGAAGGGAGUUCUGUAAGUCACUGGCUGAAGUUGUACGAGAGAUUUAUGGCUCUCUCAGGUCGACAUCUGUGACUGACCUACAGCCCGCCAGUGCUAUUACUUCCCUUUUCCGGUUCAUGAACAGAAUGGAGGAAUUGCUGUUGGCAUGUCAUGUUGGGAGACUGGGUAUUGUGUGGUUCACCACAAAAGGCACAAAUACAAUGGACUUUGAAAUACAAGCUUCAUAC